CGCGUCUGCCGUGAAAGUCCGGGGCUCAACUCCGGAUCUGCGGUGGGUACGGGCAGACUAGAGUGAUGUAGGGGAGACUGGAAUUCCUGGUGUAGCGGUGAAAUGCGCAGAUAUCAGGAGGAACACCGAUGGCGAAGGCAGGUCUCUGGGCAUUAACUGACGCUGAGGAGCGAAAGCAUAGGGAGCGAACAGGAUUAGAUACCCUGGUAGUCCAUGCCGUAAACGUU
rnacentral:rRNA from 1 species